rnacentral:misc_RNA from 1 species
GAUGAAGAACGCAGCGAAAUGCGAUAAGUAAUGUGAAUUGCAGAAUUCAGUGAAUCAUCGAAUCUUUGAACGCACCUUGCGCUCCUUGGUAUUCCGAGGAGCAUGCCUGUUUGAGUGUCAUGAAAUUCUCAACCUUUUCAGCUUUCUUUGUUGAUCAGGCUUGGAUGUGGGAGUAUGCGGGCUUCUCAGAAGUCGGCUCUCCUGAAAUGCAUUAGCGGGACCUUUGUUGCCUGGCUUUGGUGUGAUAAUUAUCUACGCCAUUGUAGUCAAGCAGCUUAAAAUGAGGUUUCAGCUUCUAACCGUCUCCCCUGAGACAACUUUUUGACAAUUUGACCUCAAAUCAGGUAGGACUACCCGCUGAACUUAAGCAUAUCAAUAAGCGAGGA